AGGCCUAACACAUGCAAGUCGAACGGGCACCUUCGGGUGUCAGUGGCAGACGGGUGAGUAACACGUGGGAACGUACCCUUCGGUUCGGAAUAACUCAGGGAAACUUGAGCUAAUACCGGAUACGCCCUUUUGGGGAAAGGUUUACUGCCGAAGGAUCGGCCCGCGUCUGAUUAGCUUGUUGGUGGGGUAACGGCCUACCAAGGCUACGAUCAGUAGCUGGUCUGAGAGGAUGAUCAGCCACACUGGGACUGAGACACGGCCCAGACUCCUACGGGAGGCAGCAGUGGGGAAUAUUGGACAAUGGGCGCAAGCCUGAUCCAGCCAUGCCGCGUGAGUGAUGAAGGCCUUAGGGUUGUAAAGCUCUUUUGUCCGGGACGAUAAUGACGGUACCGGAAGAAUAAGCCCCGGCUAACUUCGUGCCAGCAGCCGCGGUA
rnacentral:rRNA from 1 species